AGGCAGGAAACGAACUGGGGACUCGGGGUCGGUUCCACUCAACAGGAAGAGGAAAAGAUCUAUUUCCUGCCUCCCCGAUGGGACAAAGGGAACCCUCUACAAGAUGUCCUCCCGCUCAGGGGAGCACGUGGGACUGCCCUGUU